rnacentral:rRNA from 1 species
UACAGAGGCCUCGAGCGUUAGGCGGAAUCACUGGGCUUAAAGCGUGUGUAGGUGGAUGCCUAAGUACCUUGUGAAAUCCCACGGCUUAACCGUGGAACUGCUGGGUAUACUGGGCGUCUUGAGCCACUCAGGGGCUACCGGAACAAGCGGUGGAGCGGUGAAAUGCGUAGAUAUCGCUUGGAACGCCAAUGGUGAAAACAGGUAGCUGGGGGUGUGCUGGACACUGAGACACGAAAGCCAGGGGAGCAAACGGG